CCUACGGUAGGCAGCAGUGAGGAAUAUUGGUCAAUGGGCGGAAGCCUGAACCAGCCAAGUAGCGUGCGGGAUGAAGGCCCUACGGGUCGUAAACCGCUUUUGCACGGGGAUAACACCCUCCACUUGUGGCGUUCUGCAUGUACCGUGCGAAUAAGGGCCGGCUAAUUCCGUGCCAGCAGCCGCGGUAAUACGGAAGGCCCGAGCGUUAUCCGGAUUCAUUGGGCUUAAAGGGAGCGUAGGCGGGCGUUCAAGUCAGCUGUAAAAUCGCGCGGCUCAACCGCGCCCCGCAGUUGAAACUGGAAGCAUGGAGUUCACAACAGGCAGGCGGAAGUCGUGGUGUAGCGGUGAAAUGCAUAGAUAUCACGAGGAACCCCGAUUGCGAAGGCAGCCUGCCGGGGUGCGACUGACGCUGAGGCUCGAAGGUGCGGGUAUCAAACAGGAUUAGAUACCCUAGUAGUC
rnacentral:rRNA from 1 species